rnacentral:sRNA from 1 species
AUCCAGCGUGGGAGCAGCUCAGCGAUUAACCUGUGGAGCAGGAAAGUCCAGCGAUGGGGAGCUGGUCACGGCAGUGGGUGAAAGCAGAGGUGGUCAUCUGGCGAGGGGAGGGAAGCAGAUGAUGCCCAGCAAGGUGGAAGGAGAAGUGGACGGGAGAAACCUCGGGGCAUUCCUGAGGGCCCAGGAACUGCAAUAAAUGAUCACAGGUGAGGGGUUCCUGCCCGCUGCCUGCCGGCUGAGCGUGGCGAGCUGGGUGCCAGGCGCCUCCCAGGAGGAAGCUGUCUCGGCUUUGGGCGGUAGGUGCCAUGGGUGUGCUUGUGCCCAAGGGGGGCACUCAGGGGAGUUGCAGGCAGCCACCAGCUGAGACCAGCAGCUCACGGGGUGUGAAGGACUACAGAGAGAGCCAGGUUUUGUGCCAUGCACACAGGGAGGCUUAGAGUUCAGAGAGGAGGUGUGAUUCUGA